GGGGGUGAUCGGUUUCGACUUGGGACGUCUGUUCCAGGGGAAGCGGGUCGAGAAUCCAGGGUCAACUCGUGAUGCUCCCUGGAAACAUCAAGUGCCAACGCUAAGCGCACUGACUUCGCUCUCGCUGCCUGAGCAGUGACCGAAGGGUCAGCCCGGGGUUGUCUCCGACCCGGUUCCUGGCCUCGUCUAGGAGACUUGCUGAUGUCGCUGCGUCACAGGACGCCAUCGGGACUUCACUGUGACUGAGCCCGUCUCACACCUUGUCAGCGUGAGUGUGGGGGCUGAGAAAAUCUACUAGCUGUCUGCACCCGGAGAAGCCCUGGUUCGUCGCUCGAGGACGCGGGUUCGAUUCCCGCCACCUCCACC
rnacentral:tmRNA from 1 species